UCGUAGUAGAUGAAAGCCUUUGAGAUUGUUUCAUUGUCACUGUAUAAUAGCAUCAUAUACAACAAGGUUUGUAUCCUAUGUACCAUCGCCGUAGUUAAAAUAAUACAUGGACUUGAGAAUUUGAAAACUAAAUAUAUCUUCUCAAGUUGAUGCAAGUCUGUUUCUGUCCUUGUGAAACCAUCCAUGUGAAAUCUCAAUUACUUGUGAUGCAAUGAAAAGAGUUGCAUUUUUCUCCCAUGACAGCAUAACCUGCAAAUACAAAUUAUAAGAUUUCAAAACCAGUCAGACACUAAAUUAUAAAAAUGAAAUUUAUUUGCUUGGGAAAAUAUGGAAGACAAAGUAAAAGUACAAGGAUCCAGUUUGAAAUAUAGCUUAGAGUUAAACUACAGUCAUGCAUGUUGAACAAAUCAGAAUAACAUGUCACCUAUUUAUACAUUUUAAUAGCUCAGUCAUCUUAUAUUUGUAGCCCAAUUUUUUUUUUCCUGUAUAUACUAAUCAAACUGUUCUUACUAUAUUAAAAGACCAAAGUGUUAUGCAGUCUAAAAUCAAACAUCAGUUUGAAAGAAAGAGAAUUGUCAUGGCAAAAUUCUCCUUGUGGCAUUAAGAAUCAAAAGUGCACAUGGUCGAGAAAAAGUAUUGCAUGUUUGACGUAAGAAACAAAUCAAAUUACCUGUUAAUUAUUCAUCUCUUUCAUCACUGCACAUGAUAAAAUCAAUUUAAAUGCCAAAAAUCACUUUUAUCUAAUAUAUUGAAGCCAUAGACACGAAAGGUGAGAAGUUCAGAGAUAUAGUCAAGCCUCUCUUCGAUAAGUUUAUAAUGAGCACAAACAUGUAUCAUCGUCAUAAUCAAAAUCAAGAAGUUUGAUCUCAAAAUGCUAAACUAUCUACAAUUUACAUUAAGGAUAACAAUAUCAACUGUGAAAAAAAAACUAUUGGAAAAGAAUUGUCAAUUCAACCAAGAGUUUAGAUCAGAUCAGAAACAUAAUUUACCUCUAAUUAACUAUUAAAUUGAAGCGCUGCCAUGGCAUGAAUC
rnacentral:lncRNA from 1 species